AUUCCUACGGGAGGCAGCAGUAGGGAAUUUUCGUCAAUGGGCGCAAGCCUGAACGAGCAAUGCCGCGUGAACGAGGAAUGUCUUCGGUUCGUAAAGUUCUGUUGAAGGGGAAAAAGAGCGGAGAGAGGACAUGGUCUCCGAUUGAUAUUACCCUUCGCGGAAGUCACGUCUAACUACGUGCCCACAGCCGCGGUAAUACUUAGGUGGCGAGCGUUAUCCGGUAUGAUUAAGCGUA
rnacentral:rRNA from 1 species